CUGAGAUGGAAACCUUGUUGAGUCUGAUGCCUAACCCCAGGUUAUAAACACUGCACAAUAGUGUGUCACUGGAGAUGUGGCAGUAUUUUCACAGCUGGCAACCAAGGACCAAUCUUGGAGGCAACUCUCCUAUCUACAGUAGAAAUGGUAUUUGGGGUAACUAUCUAGGCUUAUUCAAAGGAACAGGAGGAAAGGGGGCAGCUGGAGAGAAGGUAGUUGCUUAACACCUGACAGAUGUUAUUACAGCAAUAAACAAGCCCAGCAAAUCCUCCUUCCCUCUUUAGAACAUUUGUCUCCAUGGUGAAAUAAUGCAAAACUGGGCAAGAAUCAGUCAUAACCUGGGAGAAGGGAGGGCUCAGGGUCACAGAGGCUUAGCAGAGUCCUCUUUGCUGACUCUGACUCAUCAAUCCCUGAGGAGUUAAGCACUUGCUUAACAGCUCUCCCAGUCAUUUCAAUAGGCAACAGGAGAAGGGGACAGAGCAAGCAGGAAUCUCAUGCCAUUGUAAAGUUUUUAGAUUUGAUUUGGGAUUUCUCAGUCUCCCCUGUGAGCAUUGCAAAAUAUUUCUGCCCAUUCUGGGUAUGAUUAAUCUAUCCAAUCCACAUGAAAAUUACCAUAUUGAGUGCUCCAAAAAUAUUCUGUGUUGAAGAAUCAGUUUAUAAGUUAAUUCCAUUGUAUAGAAUUAAUAAUAAUUAAUUCUACUCUCAAAGGCAACCCUAUGAUGUAGGUAUUAGUAUUUUCAUUUUAACAGAUGAAGAAUUUAAAGUUUGGAGAGCGGAUAAGCAACUUGCCAAAAAUCACAAAGCUGGGCCCCCAGUCAAAUCUAGUUUGGCAACCGCCAGAACCCAUGCUUUCAACCAUUCGCUACUGUCUCUUAUGACUACCAUGAACUUGGAAAUGGCACUGAAGAUAGAAUUCCAAAGAUGUCAGCACCUUGACAGAAUAUUCUUCCCUGGAACUCAGCCACCAAUCAGUGAAGAAGCCCAAACAGCUACAUGGAGAGGCUCACAUGGAAAAGAACCCAGGCCCUCGGCCAACAGCUUCAACUUAGCUCCCAUAUGGCAGCCAGAAUCAACUGCCAGCCACAUGUCUGAGGCCAUCUGGACCCUCAAGCCAUCCUAGCACCCCAGGCAACACCACAUGAAGCAGAAGGAUUGUCCUAUCCAACUAAAAUGGGAGAAAAAAAAAAUAAAAGCAAGGUUUAUAGGCAGAGGUCACUACAGAGUCAACCAUCGUGGUUUCUGACAAGCCUUUUCCAGCUCUGCAGUCCAGAGAUCCUGAACACGAUCAUCUUCUCUAUGUAAUUUCCCAUUCCCUUAAAAUUCCCUUGGAUUCACUUUGCGGAGGGCAGAGAGGUGUGCUUGAUAUGGUGUUUUCUUCAUCUGAGGCCAAAAGAUGGAGCAUCAGGGUAGAAGGAGAAAUUCUUAGAGGAAGCAGGAAAGAGGAGUCCGAGUUGACCACUGGAUGUUUUUUUCUCCUAAUAAUGGUGCCCAAACUUCUUUUUCACCAAGGCUGAAUGGCCAUCCGCAAAAUCUCCAACCUAAGAGACGGUUUCAUCUACUUCCAGGCAAAACUGACAAUGUGAAAAUACCGGAGUCACUGAGCAAAUUCACUCCAGCCUGUGCUGACUGAGACUUACAUCUUACAAUUAAGCAGUGUUUUGUCCUGCCUUACAAAUCAGUAGUUUCCUUAUUGCUUAACAUAAAUACAUCUUAUCAAAAGGAAAAACAAAAUCUUCAUAAAAUAAUAAAACUAUAUAAUGCUACUUGAUACUGCUCUAUCACAAUUUGAGAAUAUCAAACAUGAAUUGAGUAAUCAUCAUUUAUGGGAAAGGAGAAGUGAUUUGAAAUAGUGAUAUUGCCUGGCCCUUCAAUUUAUAAAGUCACAAUGUAAGAAGAAAUGGCGAAAUACAGAAGGAAAUUGAGUUACAGACUAACCCAGGAGGCUGACAAGUAAAAUCCAGAGCGUUCUGGGUUCUGUGCUGCUUCCAUGUCCUCAAGGGAGCACAUCACUCUCACUGUAGUAGACACUACUAUACAGUACCCAUUCUCCCCUUCUUUCUUACUUUAGGGGAAGCAGUUGUGUUCAGGUUAAACACACACCACCACCACCAUUUUCUGGCUUUACUUGUAACUCCAGAUGUCCAUGUGACACAGUUGCGAUUUAAGAUGUAAGCGGUGUGUGAUAGGGUGGGUUCCUGGAAAACGUUGUUUAAAGGGAGUAAAUGUGGCCAGCCCGUGCCUCUUUCCCUUCAUCCUUUUCCUCCUUUCCUGAAGACACCGUGUUGGGAAAUAGAGGAGCCAUCUUACAAUCAUGAGGAAGAGUAGCUGAACUAAGGGUGUCAGGGCAAAAGAAAAAAGCCCUGUGUGUUUCAGCAGGUGUCAUUCUGAUCAUUUGAGCCCAACACAGUCUCUAAUUGACACACUCAUCUCUGUAAAUGAGGAACCUCCUGGAAACUGACCAGAGUCACACACGAUACGUAAAAGAGCCAUGAUUCAAGUCCACGUCUAUUUUCCAGGCGCCCAUUCUUUUUCUUCUUUGUCCCUACUGUUUGCCUCUGCUUCCUCAGUUGAGACCUAGAACUUAUGGUGUUUUCUAGUAGCUCACAACUCCUGGUAAAAGUUCCUGAAAAUGAUUCAUUUCACAAUACUAAAUGACAGACUUAACCUCCUGUUUGAUCUUGUCAUGCCAAAGUGAGUUCAAAGGUAUUCUUUGAACUAGUCCUCAUUGAAACAUUGAAGGAAAUUCAGAGCAAGCUUCCUAAAGAACAGGGCAUUAGUACUGGGCUGUGAAGGUUUCAGGGAUUUCGACCACUGAGGUCAUAGAAGGAAAGGCAUUUCAAGCAAAGAGGACACUUUGAGUGAAAGCAUAAAGAAGGUCAACCCCAGUUUGGCAGGAGCAAAGGAUACGUAAAGAGCUAUACUCACUUUUUUAAAGUUUUUAUGCACUAAAUAUUUCCAAAAAUGAUUCUGGAGGUGACAUACAGUAAACAAUGGAAAUUCAAUAAAACCGCAAAACCAAAAUAAAAAUGGGAAUUAUUUAUAGUGCUGAAUAAUAAACCUGGUAGAAGAUACUAGUACCAGACAACCUAAACUAAGGAAAUCUUCAGCAGCUGAGUGCAAAACUGAAUUUAACUUUCCGGCAGCAAAAGCAAAAAAACAAGAAUGUAAUGUGUUGUAUUGUAGCAUCAAUAAAUGGCAGAAACAGUUUUCCAAGAAUUGAAAGCACUUACUGAGUAUCAAUUACACUGUAGGUUAUUUUUAAUCUAUGUGCAGAACUGCAAGCCUGGGAAUUUUGUUCAAUGCAGUGAGGCUAAAUAGACAGGAAAGGUUGAAAACUACUGUACUAGGAGAUGGAGGUACAAAGAGGAAUAAGACACAGAACCUGCCUUCUAGAAAUUUCUAAUCCUAGAUGAGGGAGAUGAAGAAAUGAAGGCUUAUUGGGUACAAACUAUGUAAUGGGCAUCUUUAAUCUCAUUAAGUCUUAGUAAAUCCUCAACACAUCGCCUCAAGAGUAGCUGUUAUUUAUUAAUUGUCCCACUGGCAGAUAGGAAAACUAAGUUGUUGAGAGGUAGAGUGCAUGGCCAAUGGCACAAAGCUAGUAAGAGAUGGAAUCAAAAAUUAAUCUCAGAACCAUUUGAUGCCUUAAAUCACAUGCUCUUGACCCAGAAGUUUCUAAGUGUAAGAAUAGCAAAUGAAUCUUUUUCUUUUCAGGUGGGGGUACACACUCUUGUCCUAGUGUCUUCUCCCAAGUCCCUUUCCAUGCGGGGCGAUCCCCAGAGACCCCAGCUUGUGCAAUUUAGAUCCACAGGGCCAAAUGAUGUCUCUCUCCAAAUUUAGAUUUUCCUGGCUCUGAUUGCUGAGGUUAUCC
rnacentral:lncRNA from 1 species